rnacentral:rRNA from 1 species
CCUACGGGUGGCAGCAGUGAGGAAUAUUUGUCAAUGGACGAGAGUCUGAACCAGCCAAGUCGCGUGAGGGAAGACGGUCCUAUGGAUUGUAAACCUCUUUUGUCGGGGAGCAAAAGACGCCACGCGUGGCGUUCCGAGAGUACCCGAAGAAAAAGCAUCGGCUAACUCCGUGCCAUCAGCCGCGGUAAUACGGAGGAUGCGAGCGUUAUCCGGAUGUAUUGGGUUAAUGGGGUGCGCAGGCGGAAGAUAAAGUCAGAGGUAAAAGUGCGAGGCACAACCUCUUCGAGCCGUUGAAACUGGUUGUCUUGAGUGAUCGAGGAGUAUGCGGAAUGCGUGGUGUAGCGGUGAAAUGCAUAGAUAUCACGCAGAACUCCGAUUGCGAAGGCAGGAUACCGGCGCUCAACUGACGCUGAGGCACGAAAGUGUGGGUAUCAAACAGGAUUAGAUACCCUGGUAGUC